CCUUCCCCGCUUCUGCAGCCGGUUCCCCACCGAUCACAAGCCCAUAAAACUCGGCUCCGAUUCAGCAAACGGCACAAGAUCGAGAAGCGCUGAUUGGGUGACGGCUCGAAGCUGAAGAAGUUCCUGAAAUGUCUGACUCGAAGCCCUGUGUGUGCCUGGAUGGAUCCUGCUCCUGUGAAAAUACCUGCAGGUGCUCCGACCGCCGAUGUCCCAGCAGCAAAGCUGGACGCUGCCGGAAAAGUUGCUGCUCUUGCUGUCCUGCAGGAUGUACAAACUGCGCCAAUGGCUGUGUGUGUAAAGGGAGUCCCUCUGACAAAUGUAGCUGCUGUUCCUGAACAACAGGCCCUUCAGGGACAAUAGAUGAAAUAUUGUCCAUAUGUACUGUAUUCCACAGGCUGCAUGUUCUCAGUGUCUAUAUCCUGAUGAGUUGUGUCUAUGAGAAGUAAUUGAAAUGAAUGAAUUAUUUUUGAAAUGAUCAUUUUUGUAUCAGAUAAUA